rnacentral:rRNA from 1 species
UACGAAGGGGGCUAGCGUUGCUCGGAAUCACUGGGCGUAAAGGGUGCGUAGGCGGGGCUUUAAGUCAGGGGGGAAAUCCUGGAGCUCAACUCCAGAACUGCCUUUGAUACUGAGGAUCUUGAGUUCGGGAGAGGUGAGUGGAACUGCGAGUGUAGAGGUGAAAUUCGUAGAUAUUCGCAAGAACACCAGUGGCGAAGGCGGCUCACUGGCCCGAUACUGACGCUGAGGCACGAAAGCGUGGGGAGCAAACGGG